AUAACGUGUGUGGUAGGAGAGAGAUGUCUCCUGCGUCUUGUCAAGAACGGGAUCCGGCAGAAGGCGUGAGUUUGUUUUGAUACUUUGAAAGGUCAGUGCCAUCCAUUCAUAAAGAUCAACCUUUCAGUCAGUCUGUCAUCACCACUGGACAGGUCAGCAGUUGUGUCCAGGAACGUUGUAAUGUUUGAAAAGGGGAAUGCACAAGUGUUUGGAUGUGAGGUCACAUAGAAACGAUGACCAGAGUCCAGAAGGAAGAAUCUGGAAUGGCCGUAUCUCUGUGUGUGACAGUUCACCUUUGAAAGAACGCCUCGGGAUGAAGAUGAAGACAUUUUUUAAUUAGACUGAUCAGGAUGGAGGGGAUUAGAAGUUGAAUAAUUGAAUAGAAGUAGCACAAAAGAAGAUCACUGCUCUCACUGUAUAGAGUUUGCAUGUUCUCCCAGUGGGAGUGGGUUCUCCACAGGUUCUCUAGUUUCCUUCCACAGCCUAAAACCAUUGUUCAUUAGGGGAUUAGCUCCAUCUGAUCAUCUACACUGAUUAAUGGUGUGAAUGUGAGCGUGAAUAGUUGUUGUGUUUCUAUACGUGGCCCUGAGAUGGAACGUCGAACUGUCCGGGUGUACACUGACCAUGAUCAUGUACAGCGCACCCGUGUGGCCCUGCGAAGAAUUACGCUGUAGGGAAUGUAUAGAUGAUGUUGAAAUUGAGCUGCUGGGCAGAAAAAAAAAACGUUUUAAAUUAAAGAUGCACUUUUACUUCUUUAAUGGUAAGGAUUUCAUAUACAAGCGUAAAAUAAUUUACAUAACUUUGAAAAAUACAAUAUAUUGUAUGUUUAUCUCACAGAUUACAGGCAACUAAAUCCCCAAAUAUAUAUUUUUUUAUUCAUAUCAAACAAACAAUUCUCUAAAAUAUGAUUAAUAUACGAUUUGGCAGAGGGUGGACGACACAUACCCUCGGUCCAGAGUACUGCAGUAUAAUACAGGGGUACUACCACUUUUUAAGUUCAUUACUUUGUUUUUUGGGUAAUACUCCAAACUCAUGGCUAGUGGUCCACAUCUGGUCCAUGAAACCCUCACCUCUGGCCUGUGACUAGGAAUGAAUAAUAAUUUAUUUUUGCUCUAAUUCUGAAAUUUUAGAUUUUUUUAAUUUAUUUUCUUUAUCAUUAAAAUGCUUUACUUGGUUAUUUAAGAA